rnacentral:sRNA from 1 species
UGUUCUGGCUUUCACCCCAGGAAAUCACUCGACCACACCCUACAAGGGCCGAAUGACGAUGUGGUCGAGUAUAGCGAAUGAUGCAGUCACUAAUUCACUCGACCGCGGUGCUGGCCGCAGAAGAAGAAGAGAGGUCGAGUAUCAUCAGAGCGAUGCUGGCCGCGACGAAGGAGCAGAGGUCGAGUACCCCCAGGGGGAAGCUGAGACACAACAAGGAGAUUCUUCGAUGGCCUGGGAGCAAUCACAAGCAGCUAUUGACGACCAACUCCGCUCCUUCUUCCACUGAGGUAUGCACCUCACUCCACCAUUGUAAUAUACCAUCUCUUGUUUUUAUUUUGUUUUUGUGAUGUGUUUUGUCCUGAGUACUCUCUUCCAAAUUUGGUCACUUAGUGGAU